GAACUGCAGGGGAGGGUCACAGGGCGAGGCCUGCAGCAGGGACACGGGCGGGGAGGAAGGGCUGCAGCCCAGAGUGAGGAGGACAGGGCCCUGGGCAGCACAGCCCUGCGGGGACAGAGGCCAAGUCGAGGAUGAGCCGCGGAGUCCAGGGCAUUUUACGCAGAGAGGACAGACCCUGAAGACCAGGCCCGGGGGCAGGGGUCAACCAGGAUGCCCGGGCUCACAGUAACUGCAUCUGUGGGCACCUGAGCCCUGGCCUGGCUUCCUGCCCUCCUGGCAGCUGAGAGUCUUUCGGGGAGUGCAGGGGACAUCUGCAGGAGCCUGGGGCGGGGGGGGGCUGGCCCCAAGUUUGGGAGCCCCCUGAAAGGUGGCCUUGUGCAGCAGCCCAGGCCAGCAGGGGACGGGCUCAGGGGGCAGAGCUUCCUGCCUGGCCCCUCCCCAGGGCCCGCAGGCAGCGCUCUGGAAUCCCGAGCAUCUGGGGAACACACAGCGCUAUGGAACAUAACCCUGUAAUGUGCGACUAAUGUUCUGUGGACAGUUACACAGCGGCAUCACCGCGGACCUGGUGACAGAGGCGGAAAGCCGCCCCUCCCUGCCUGUCUCCCAGGAAGAGGGGAGGGGCCCUGGCCAGCCCCCGGCCACCUGGAGGGGCCCACCUUCCCAGGAGCCCAGGGGUGAGCCCAGGAACCCGGUGCUGAGACGCAGGGCCCAGCAGCCACAGGCCUCCUGGGUUCUCUUCUGCCCUGCCUCUCCCCGUGGCCUCCAUUCUCUGAAUGCUCGGCAGACUCCGUCCUGUCUAGCCCUCGCACACUGCGGGAAAGGUGUUUCUCUCCACCAUAUGACGGAAGAAACACGCCCACAGGAGCAGCCACACAUCCGCCUGGAAACGCUCCCUCCUCUCUGACUCACUCCCAAGCUUUCCGUCACUCUGUCAGGACAGGGGACAGGACAGGGGACGAGUCACCAAACCCUUGGAGCCCUUGUUUGCCAGGGCCUCGAAGGGGCUCCUGGUGGGCAGAAGGCUGGGCCUCUCCUGCAGGACGUGGGCUGGCGUGCAGAGAUGUAUCCCAAGGACCGGCUCCCAAGAUGAUGGAGGUGGCAAGUCCGAAAUCUGCAGGCCCUCGGCAGAGCAGUGUCCUCAGUGAAGUGGGCAUGAUGACCCUGGCCGCCUGGACUGCCGGGAGAAGGAAAUGCAGUCAUGGAUGCGGAGCACCCGCCUGGACUCAGCCGCCAACGUGAGCCGCCUUCCCUUCCCUUCCCAGCCUCGCCGAGGAGAGGAGCACGUCGACACAGAGGAGAAACUUAAUUAGGAUUGGAAAAAUGUGAAUUCCAAGGCUUAUUAAAUUCAUGAUAUUUUUA